CUUCAGAUGGCCGAGAACAAGCAGCAGAUUUUUAAUUUGCCCACGAUAAAUAAAUUUAUCUCUGGAGA
rnacentral:tRNA from 1 species